GAUCAUGGCUCAGGAUGAACGCUGGCGGCGUGCCUAACACAUGCAAGUCGAACGAAGCGCAUACGACAGAACUCUUCGGAGGGAAGAUGUAUGUGACUGAGUGGCGGACGGGUGAGUAACGCGUGGGUAACCUGCCCUAUACAGGGGGACAACAGUUGGAAACGACUGCUAAUACCGCAUAAGCGCACAGUACCGCAUGGUACAGAGCGAAAAACUCCGGUGGUAUAGGAUGGGCCCGCG
rnacentral:rRNA from 1 species